AGCGGAUACUAACGAUAGCGAUACCCAUCGAAAUCGAUGGUUAUUAAGUUCACAUUUUUCGGCUUUAUUCGGUUUCUCGCAAGGGAACUGUCGGAGUGUCUUAAUAAAUUUCGUUAAUGUAUAGCUAGGUAACUAAAAUGGCGGCGCUUCCGACUGAUUCCUUCCGGAGGGGAGCCGCCGAGUAUUUAACGUCACUAGUUACCGAAUUAAAUGUAAAUAUUCAAAAUAUUCUAGCGGAAUUUAAACGUUUAUGUGAUAAUAUCUGGCCUACAGAAGAAAUUUGUAAGCCUAUUAUUUCGGAUAUUGAUAAACAGGUAUCGGUCAUGGCGGCACUUCGGUAAUAAUCUCGAAGUAGGUGUUAAGUUGUGUCGUGUAGUUAAAACCAGGUGGCGUUGGUAAUAUCUGCUGUUGAUGCGGUGAAUUUGAAUUCGCAAGAUUAGGAUUGUUCGAGUUUUGAAAUGGAUUUUAAGAAUUUAACAUCAAGGAAGUUUUUUCGUUGUUUGGAAUUAGAUUAUUAAGAAGGCGAGAAGAAGCAUUAAAAGAUGUGACCAAUACAUCUGACACGGGUUUCAAACAAGGUAACUCUGUGAACGUUCCGUUUCAAGCAAUAAACAAGUUAGAAAAAGACAUUGCCUUGAAUAUAAGUUACAUAAAAAAUGAAAAUUUUUAUUCUUGUGUUGUUUAACAGAAAUUAAAAUGCUUUUAAUUGUAAGGGAUCCCCAUAACAAUACAUCUGGCAAGUGUGAUUCAUAUAAAACACUAUUUGUUGCAAGAAUUAACUCUCGUACAAAAGAAUCAACAUAAAAAAAAAGAAUUUGAAGUUUUCGGACCCAUAAAAAAAUUGAACUUGUGCGCAAUAAAAAUACUGAAAAAUCAAGAGGGUAUGCCUUUAUACAAUAUGAACAUGAACAAGAUAUACAUUAGUAGUAAUUCAAACACAAAUAAUUAUCGUAUUUAUCUUCAGG